AUUGAACGCUGGCGGCAGGCCUAACACAUGCAAGUCGAACGGUAGCACAGAGAGCUUGCUCUCGGGUGACGAGUGGCGGACGGGUGAGUAAUGUCUGGGAAACUGCCCGAUGGAGGGGGAUAACUACUGGAAACGGUAGCUAAUACCGCAUAACGUCGCAAGACCAAAGUGGGGGACCUUCGGGCCUCACACCAUCGGAUGUGCCCAGAUGGGAUUAGCUAGUAGGUGGGGUAAUGGCUCACCUAGGCGACGAUCCCUAGCUGGUCUGAGAGGAUGACCAGCCACACUGGAACUGAGACACGGUCCAGACUCCUACGGGAGGCAGCAGUGGGGAAUAUUGCACAAUGGGCGCAAGCCUGAUGCAGCCAUGCCGCGUGUAUGAAGAAGGCCUUCGGGUUGUAAAGUACUUUCAGCGGGGAGGAAGGCAUUGUGGUUAAUAACCACAGUGAUUGACGUUACUCGCAGAAGAAGCACCGGCUAACUCCGUGCCAGCCGCCGCGGUAA
rnacentral:rRNA from 1 species